CCGCGCGGCGCGCGCCGUGCGUGCCGAGCAGGCCGCAGUGCGGGCCGGGGCCGCGGCGAUGCUGGAGGAGGCGGGUGAGGUGCUGGAGUCGGUGCUCAAGGCCUCGUGCCUCCCGCUCAGCGUCCUGCUCUUCGUGCCCGCCGUGCUCCUGCUCCUGGGGCCGCCGCCCGCCGCCGAGGCGGCGCACGAGUUCACGGUGUACCGCAUGCAGCAGUACGAGCUGGGCGGGCAGCCCUAUGGCACCAGGAGCGCGGUGCUGAACACGGAGGCGCGCACCGUGGAAGCGGACGUGCUGAGCCGCCGCUGCGUCAUGAUGCGGCUGGUGGACUUCUCCUACGAGCAGUACCAGAAGGCUCUGCGCCAGUCAGCCGGGGCUGUGGUGAUCAUCUUGCCACGAUCCAUCUCCUCUGUCCCCCAGGAUGUUGUGCGGCAAUUCAUGGAGAUAGAGCCAGAAAUGCUUGCUAUGGAAACCAUUGUGCCAGUCUACUUUGCAGUGGAAGAUGAGGAGCUGCUGUCUAUCUAUGAACAAACACGGGCUGCUUCUGCAUCACAGGGUUCUGCCUCAGCUGCAGAAGUUCUGCUGCACACAGCAACUGCCAAUGGCUUCCAGAUGGUGACCAGCGGGGCUCAAAGCAAAGCUAUCAAUGACUGGCUCAUCCCCAGUGUGGAGGGAAGGCUGACAGGGCUGGGUGGAGAAGACAUGCCCACUGUUGUGAUAGUUGCCCACUAUGAUUCCUUUGGAGUGGCUCCAUGGCUGUCCCAUGGGGCUGACUCCAAUGGCAGUGGAAUCUCAGUGCUGCUGGAACUGGCCAGGCUGUUCUCUCGGCUCUACACCUACAGAAGGACCCAUGCUGGGUAUAACUUGCUGUUCUUUGCCUCUGGAGGUGGCAAGUUUAAUUAUCAAGGAACUAAGCGGUGGCUGGAGGACAAUUUAGACCACACUGAUUCCAGCCUGCUGCAGGACAAUGUAGCAUUUGUUCUCUGCCUUGACACUCUGGGCAGAGGCAACAGCCUUCAUCUUCAUGUCUCAAAGCCUCCCAAGGAGGGCACCUUGCAGCAUGCAUUUCUGAGAGAGCUGGAGAUGGUUGUUGCCAGCCAGUUCCCAGAGGUGAAGUUUUCCAUGGUGCACAAGAAGAUUAACCUGGCUGAGGACAUGCUGGCGUGGGAGCACGAGCGGUUCGCGAUCCGGCGCUUGCCGGCGUUCACCAUCUCCCACCUGGAGAGCCACCGGGACAGCCUGCGCAACAGCAUCAUGGACAGGAGGGCACGAAUAGACACUAAAGCACUGACCAGGAAUACUCAGAUCAUUGCUGAGGCUUUGACAAGGGUCAUCUACAAUCUAACAGAAAAGGGAACACCUGCAGAUAUGCAGAUCUUCACAGAUCAGAUGCAAAUCCAGCAGGAGCAGCUGGAGUCAGUGAUGGACUGGCUGAGCAGUCAGCCCAGGGCUGCCCAGCUGAUUGAUAAAGACAGCACCUUCCUCAACACCUUAGAAUAUUAUAUGGGACGCUACCUGAAGGAUGUCAAGCAGCAUCACGUGAAGGCAGACAAACGGGACCCUGAGUUUGUUUUCUACGACCAGCUGAAGCAGGUGAUGAAUGCAUACAGGGUCAAGCCAGCAAUCUUUGACCUGCUCCUGGCUGUCUGUAUUGCAGCCUACCUUGGCGUUGCCUAUGUUGCAGUGCAGGGAAACCACAAGUAUUUGAAAACUCAGUGUAAGAAUAUAAACAAGGGAAAAAACAUACUUUGAUUUCUAUUAGCAAUCUUCAUUACUUCUGUUAUUUGAAUUUGAAAUUAUUUGAAGCCUGGAUCUUGUUCCAUCUGUCAAACAUCAAAUCAAAAUACAAUCAACCCCAGCAAAAUCAAAAGGGGAAUUAAGUGAAUUUCUAAGCCACUGUGGAAAUGGUGGAAGAGAAUAGCCAGUUAAAGACUUGUGAAUUGGUGGGAAUCUGUUUUUGCCUGGUUCAUUUUUACCUGCCUGAAACUGCUGGCAGCAGUGUUUCUGUAGAGACCAGGAGCCUGCAUGUGUUGGAAUCUGAAGCUUUCUCCUCGCUUUCAGAAGGAACAGAAUUGCAUUGAAAAAAUAAUUAAAAAAAUCUUCAGUAUGAGUUGAAACAGACCUGCACAAACACUUCUCACUUUGGUCUCCUUUACAAGAUGAUACAAAGAUUAUCCCUUAAAACCAAGCAGCAGUGAAGCACCAAGUCCCCCCACCCAGCAGCACUGAGCCAUCGGUGAGCCCAUUGGGAACCUUCUGCCUUCCACUGAAACCCUGCUGUUCCUUUUCCUUUGUCUCCUCUUUGCUACUGUAUGGAGGGGAGGAAGGCAUAAAGAAAAUGAAAUUUUAACUCUUGUGCACCUCUGAAGUGCUUUUCUUCACCUUCUUCCCCUGAGUUGCACCAUGUCUGGUUUGCCUUUGCAUUUUGGUGAGGGAGAGGCUGAGAGACUCCAGCAAUUCCUGCAGUCUGAUUUUGAGCAGCUUCUCUGAGUGUAACACAAAGUCCAGCACCAUCAUGGACACUGUCACACAGCCAGCCUGGAAACUGAAACUACAGCCUGACAGAGUGGUAUCUCUGCCCAGCACACAAGGACUUGGAGCAGUGGUUUGAAAGAAAAAAACAAAAAAGUGCACAUGCAAAUUAAAGAGAAUGCAAUUAGCAUGUUUCCUUAUGGCACCUCUUCCUUGAGUUCACUGCUGGCUUUAGGAGUUGUGCUGAGCAAGCAGUGUCUGCAGCAAGCACCUUCUUGCAUUUUGUUCAAACUUCACCCCCUUUUAGGAUGUGCACUGUGAGUGCUCUUGACUGUUAAAAUCAGGAUGAGGAAAGAUUAAGUUGGGUUUCUGGCAUGAGGGUUCUUGCCAGGGACAGGUUCUCUCCUGUCUCUCUUGGAGGAUGCAUUUUGCUGUGUGCUUGAUUUUUCUGGAGGUUUUUGGUCCUUGAACAGUUCACAGUUGCCACCACUCUGUGCUAAACUCUUGCUUGAUUUUUGAGGGGUGUUCCAUAGUCCAUAGCUGCUGCAGGAUCCCAUUCUGUGCUGUUCCAUGUACUUACACAAGCUGGUUCUGUUGAUAACAAGAGCAGUUCAGAUCUGGAAAAUAUAUUGAGAUACUACAAUCCCUAGGCUAGUUGUAGUUCUAGAAGAUAACCCUGAGCACUGCCCUGCCACCCAGCAAGUUUUGAGUCCUUUUCUGUAAUCUCUUCUAUGUACAUGAGGUCUCUUCACAAGCCACAGUGAUGCUUUUUUUUUAAAUUUAAGCUACUAUUUAUAAUUAAAGCAGUGUAUCUUACAGAGGCUGAAAAUUACUUUUGAAUUGAAGUGCACCUCUUUUUUUGUGUAUGCAAGAAAAAUUCCAGCUGUGGAUUCCUGUUUGCACACACCUGCUGUGCACAUGCCUGUUAGAAAAGGGCUUGUUGUGGCCAGUCACUGUCCUUUGGAUGGGCACCAAAGCAUUGAUUUCCAUCCUCCUUGGUUUAUUUUAUUGUAAUCUUCUAGCAGUACCCUUACCCCAUGAUGUGUCCUUUCUGCUGCUUUAAAUAAGUAGCAACUUACUCUUUGAAGAGUCUUGUCUUUUUCCAGGAGAGCCUGCUGGUGUCAGUGGCUCACCAUGGUGUCCAAGCACUCCAGAAGGAUCAGCCACACAGGGAAAUCUGCCUUUUCCUGAUUUUUUGAGUGCUCAUUUGAAAUGUGUUUCUCUGCAUGCGUGAAGUGCUCAUGGCACUCCUCUGCCAAAUGAAUUCAUAAUGACUUCAGAAGUUGCUGGAGUGGCUGGAAGGCAAGCCUUGAUUGUUUUCCCCUGGUUGGUAUAAAGUGAAGCCACAUGCCCUGGGCUGGGUAGGUUUAGAACAUGCUUGGUACAGUGGCUCUCUGAGGAACUCUGCAGGCUCUGAAUAUCUGGGAGUAAUUUGAGUCCUCCAGCUCAAACUGCAGCAUCCAUUUAUGGUGUGUUACACUUAAGGAGGUUUGUGUUCCCUCCAGCCUAGCAGAGUAUUUCACCAGUCUUAAUUAUUAACUCCAUUCCUUUGCUGAGAAAAAUAGAAAAAGAAUAUUAGCAAUGCUGCUGCAGCUUGAGUUGAUGUGUAUAAAAUAUGCCAGUAGUGGGCAAGAGCAAACAGAACAGACCUGGGGCUUGUUCCUUGCUGUGGAAACUGCCUUCAGUCUUCCAGAUGAGAAGCUCAAAGUUCAGAGUCAAAAACAUACACCCAGUCUGUUUGCAGAAGCUGUAGCACAAAGAAAACACCUUAGCUCUGUGUGGUCUCAGCAAUGAGCUGUUAACACUGAUACAGUGCCAGAAGCCAGUGGAAACAACCUAAAAAGAUGAAUAAAUGAAGAGAGUUCAUAAACCUGAAGGGCAGUUGGGAUGGUACAUUGCUCUCUCCCACACCAGGUUAGUUUGUCCUGUAAUCCUUUUGUCUCUCUCCCUGGCUGCCAGAAAAAGUAGUUUUUACAACAGAUAAAAGAGUUUCUGCUUUUGAUCAAAGUGCACGUGCACUGAAACAUAUAUGCUCAAACCUGAGAUAGUCAAAUCCCAACUUCCUCAUAGCUGGAGCAGAGUGCCCAUCCUGGGAUUGAAUUUAAAUCCAAAUUUCCUCAUAGCUGGAAUCCUGGGAUUGAAUUGUUGUUUCCUUGGGUAAGUCAACAGAGAAAUUUGCAGAGAGCCCCCAAAGCUGAUCUGCACUGCAGCAUAAGUGAUCAAUUCAGUCACCAACACAAAGCCAGAAACCCAACAGGUGUUGUGAUAAAAUAAAAGUUCUCCACAACAUAGCAGAAGAGCUCUUUGUAGCUGAUUGUUGUUGCCCUUGUUUUUACCUCUCUAUUUUUGAGGACUUGGCUUGGCCUGUAUGGAAGAGCAUGGAAAGCUUUAUAUCCACAUACACACAAGUGGCUAGCAGUUGAAACUCCUACCUAAAAAACCAUUUUCUUUGCUAUUUAUCUGACUUCACCUGUUGUCCUGGUGCUGUCAGAGUCUGCAGCUCACAAAAAAAAUGGUUUUCCAGCAGGGUUUAACUGAAGCUGUUAAUUCCUUCUGUCUGCUUCCACCUGCAUGGGCACUACUGGGAAUUGUAUGGGAGUAAUUUGGAUUAUUGUCGUUCAUCUCCCAAAUGAGAGGGCUUGGUUUAUUGUUGGGAGGGAAAUAAUACUGUGCAAUAUGAACUCCACUCCUCUACUCAGUGCAGAGAAAAUUCUGAAGCCAGAGUGGAAUUAGGUCUCCCACUCUCUGUGGCUGAAAGUCACCACAAUCUAUUUAGACAUUCAAAACCACAGCUAUACCCAAAAUUGCUGUGGGGCUUGGUUUUGAGGGUGUUUUGUUGGUUUUAAAUCUCGUGCUCUUACAUUGUUCAUGGCCCAAUCCCAAAACCCAGGCUGUUCCUGCACCCUGUGUUUAAGCUGGGUUUUACAUUUCAGAGGUUUUACAUUUUAUUUGGUCUUGUCUCACAAAUCUGAAAUGCUGGGGCUGCUCCUGGAUGUCUCAGAAAAUUGGGCCUCUGGGUACUUGAGUGUGGACUCCUGCUUGCUCACUUUGAUCUGUUUAGUUUCCAUUUGUAGUUACUGCAUAGCAACUGCAAAGUUAUAAUCUGGAAUAUUUGCAGCUCAGGAAAAAGAUUUAUCUAGUAAUGUUAACUCAAUUAUUUAUCUCUUGUGUGCCCUGAAGAACAAAUGUAUAUUGAGGUGAAUAUUUAAAAGCUAAUAGAAAAUUCAAUGCAGUUGAUUUGCAUAUUUUAGGACUAUAAAUGUAAUAAUAUUUAAGUAUUUUAACUUCUUUUUUUUAUUUGUUUGUCCCUUUUCCCCUUGGAAAAUAAACCAAGUGAAUAGGUUUGAUGGAUAGAUUUGUCAGAGAACUAUUUGCUCAAAAAAAUGGAA